rnacentral:rRNA from 1 species
UAGUCCACGCUGUAAACGAUGAUUACUAGAUGUUCGGACUUCGGUCUGAGUGUCCAAGCGAAAGCGAUAAGUAAUCCACCUGGGGAGUACGUUCGCAAGAAUGAAACUCAAAGGAAUUGACGGGGGCCCGCACAAGCGGUGGAGCAUGUGGUUUAAUUCGAUGAUACGCGAGGAACCUUACCUGGGCUACAAUGCCUCUGCUACACCCUGAAAGGGGUGGUUCCUUCGGGACAGAGUGCAAGGUGCUGCAUGGUUGUCGUCAGCUCGUGCCGUGAGGUGUUGGGUUAAGUCCCGCAACGAGCGCAACCCUUAUUCUUAGUUGCCAGCACAUAAUGGUGGGGACUCUAGGAAGACUGCCGGCGUAAGCCGUGAGGAAGGUGGGGACGACGUCGAAAUCAUCGAUGGCCUUUAUGCCUAGGGCUACACACGUGCUACAAUGGUGCAUACAGCGGGUAGCGAAAUCGCGAGGUGAGCUAAUCUUGUAAAGUGCAUCCCAGUUCGG